rnacentral:lncRNA from 1 species
UUUCACUCCUUUUUUUUCCUCUUCUUUCCCCCUAUUCCUAGGGUCUCUGUCUGGAAAUUUCCCCCAGAUGCGUGAAGGUGUGUGUGGUGGAAGAGGGUAGAAACCAGACUCCAACAGUCAGGUAAAGAAGACCAAUUCCUCCCACCUACUCCUCCUAUUGCUACUGUCCAGCAAGUAUGUCUGAGUGGGCACGUGUGCAUUUACUCGCACAUAUACACAAGCACACACGCAGAAAUGGCACAUGAAAGCGGGUUGUAAAUGGCCAGUGAUCUACGAUGCCAGGAAUCCUCCUUACACUCGGCGUUCAAAGAGCAGGAGCAAGAACCUGAGGAACCGAUCGUUCAUGCAAAACCGCCACCGCCCCCAUCCCAGCGUCCACAUGGUUUCCCAGCCUCGGAAGCGCGUUGGUAGGGCAGGACCCCGUCCCUCACUUUGCUCUCCUUUCCCGAGCAGCUCCCGGGAUCGUUCGGCCCCUCC